rnacentral:rRNA from 1 species
UAAUACGUAGGGUGCGAGCGUUAAUCGGAAUUACUGGGCGUAAAGUGUGCGCAGGCGGUUUUGUAAGUCAGAUGUGAAAGCCCCGGGCUCAACCUGGGAACUGCGUUUGAAACUACAAGGCUAGAGUAUGGGAGAGGGGGGUAGAAUUCCACGUGUAGCAGUGAAAUGCGUAGAGAUGUGGAGGAAUACCAAUGGCGAAGGCAGCCCCCUGGCCUAAUACUGACGCUCAUGCACGAAAGCGUGGGGAGCAAACAGGAUUAGAUACCCUGGUAGUCCACGCCCUAAACGAUGUCAACUAGUUGUUGGUGGAGUAAAAUCCAUUAGUAACGCAGCUAACGCGUGAAGUUGACCGCCUGGGGAGUACGGUCGCAAGAUUA